UACGUAGGGACCGAGCGUUGUCCGGAAUCAUUGGGCGUAAAGCGCACGUAGGCGGCUUAGCAAGUCGGAUGUGAAAUCCCUCGGCUCAACCAAGGAAGUGCAUCCGAAACUGCUGAGCUUGAGUACUUAAGAGGAUCGCGGAAUUCCCGGUGUAGAGGUGAAAUUCGUAGAUAUCGGGAGGAACACCAGUGGCGAAGGCGGCGAUCUGGGAAGAUACUGACGCUGAGGUGCGAAAGCGUGGGGAGCAAACGGG
rnacentral:rRNA from 1 species